GCCCAGAUGGGAUUAGCUUGUUGGUGAGGUAACGGCUCACCAAGGCGACGAUCCCUAGCUGGUCUGAGAGGAUGACCAGCCACACUGGAACUGAGACACGGUCCAGACUCCUACGGGAGGCAGCAGUGGGGAAUAUUGCACAAUGGGCGCAAGCCUGAUGCAGCCAUGCCGCGUGUAUGAAGAAGGCCUUCGGGUUGUAAAGUACUUUCAGCGGGGAGGAAGGUGUUGUGGUUAAUAACCGCAGCAAUUGACGUUACCCGCAGAAGAAGCACCGGCUAACUCCGUGCCAGCAGCCGCGGUAAUACGGAGGGUGCAAGCGUUAAUCGGAAUUACUGGGCGUAAAGCGCACGCAGGCGGUCUGUCAAGUCGGAUGUGAAAUCCCCGGGCUCAACCUGGGAACUGCAUUCGAAACUGGCAGGC
rnacentral:rRNA from 1 species